UAGGGAAUCUUCGGCAAUGGACGAAAGUCUGACCGAGCAACGCCGCGUGAGUGAAGAAGGUUUUCGGAUCGUAAAACUCUGUUGUUAGAGAAGAACAAGGGUGAGAGUAACUGUUCACCCCUUGACGGUAUCUAACCAGAAAGCCACGGCUAACUACUUGCCAG
rnacentral:rRNA from 1 species